rnacentral:tRNA from 1 species
GCUGAGAUCGCAUAAUCUGGUAGUGCGCCGGUCUUGAAAACCGGUCCCUCCGGGAUUGCAGGUUCAAAUCCUGCUCUCAGCG